CUAGUGACAGCUGUGCUAAUGAGAUAACUCUUAUUAAUUCCUUGCUUACAUGGGAAGGAACUCACCCAGUCUAGAUAAAAUUAUAGUCUUAACUCAGCGAACUUUUUAAAUGCGAAAGCCAAAAGGAGGCCCCACUAGAAGUGGAGGCAUGGGAAAUCUCCUUGGAGCUGGGCCCAUGAGCUAUUUUACAAAACAAGUGGUCUCACCCAUGCAACGCAACCAAAUUAAUUGGAACGAUUGAGACAAACCAAAGCAAAGCCUGAAGUGGAACCCACUGCCAUCAUUUCAAGACCUAUUAUUUCAAGUAACCACGUGGGGAACAUGAUGGUGAUUGCGGCCAGUGUGGAGUGGUUGCCUUCUUCCAACAUGGGCAGAGUGCUGCUGAGCCUGCAGGGCUGAGCCAAAGCUGCUACAGAGACUUCCCAGGCGAUGUCUGAUUGGAAAACUUUGAACAUGGUCUCCUAUCAUGAGUUAUUACUGCUCCUGAAUGUACAGCACUUAGGAAUACAAAUGGUGGUCUCUGCAGCACAUUUAAAUGGGCUGUGUGUUGUCUGUCCUUUCUCACGUUGUGGAAUGUGUUCCUAUGGGUUCCUCUGUUGGAGAAGCGUGACAUCAUUUUUCAGACAGAAUCGGUGAGGCUUUAAGUUCAGAUACCCGACAGAAUCACAGAACUGUGGAAUCUUUGGGGUUAGAAGGGACCUCUGAAGCUCGCCCAGUCCAGCUCACCUGCACUGAACAGCAACAUGCACGGCUAGGCCAGGAAACGUGGUUGAGACUUCACAUCUUCAGGCUUUCUCAAAUGUGAAGAACUUUCUUAAUGCCUAUCGAAAUUUGGGAUUCUUUGUAACCGAAUAAUUCCUGGAGGCUGAGCUGUAAAGAAAACACGGGCUGCUCGAACACAUUCUCCAGAAUUCUAAAAAUGCAAAACAAUUAUUGUUGGCUUCAAAGAGUUACUCAGAGUAAAGAACAGCUUUAUCUACAUCUGAUCUUCAGGGGGGGGGGAAAAAAAAAGCAUAUGGGCCUGGAAACAUCCCAGCCUCUCAGACAGCACUGAUAUUCUCCUAAUGCAGCUACCAGGCCAGGUGUACUUCAGUGUGAGGGCUGUGCGGUGGCCUUCAGCAGGUCUUUUGAAGCUGCCCUCCUGCUGCGUUUUGGUUAUAGGGCAGAGGUUUAUGAGUGUACGGUCGCUAACCACGGAGUGUUCAUACGUUUAAGCUUCAUCACCAAAUCAGGCCAUAGGUGUAUAAAGACGGCCUUCUGAGGAGCAGCGUGGGUUUUAUCUGCUCGCUUGUUGUUUGCUUGGAGGGCAGUCUUCAGCUGGAGCUGCCAAACCCUCUUGUGUUGUAAUUAAACGGUACAUUUGGAGCAAAAGGAAAAUAUGCAGCAGUUUGUUUAUUCAGAAGGAAAUGCUUGAUAGAAUCUAACAGAUUACAUUCUUGGAAAGGAAUGGGAGCAAAAAUAGAUCCCUGUGCCAAACUCUGCCUUUCGCUACAUCUCGGAGCCCAGGUGCCUCCAGAGCCUUCAAAGUGCGGGGGCUGCACUGGGCUGAGAUACAGUGCUGCUGUGCUGUGGGCUGGGAGGGAGGCAGCGCCCUGCAGGCCCCUGCUGCAGCCAGCCAAGGGCUGCAUCUGACACCGAGCCUGCAGCUGAGGACAGUGCUCUGAGAAAAUGCACAGGGCACCCACGCCUGGGGCCGAGCAUGGGAAGGUCAGGCAUGCCUUUCUUCAGCGCUGGCUGGGAUGCUUAAAGCCUAACAAUGUUCUUGGAGACGGCAGUGAGCUAUGG
ensembl:lncRNA